AAGAGCCACGAAUUUGCCUCUCCCUUGGAAACCGCCAAGAAUGGGAGAGGCUCAUCCAUUGCAGCACCAAGACCAAGGAAGAAGGAGGGACAAGGGGCCACCGCCCGUUGCCACUGCAGCUGCCCGUCGUCGGUGCCGUGGCCGCCAUCGCCUCAAUCUCCUCGGGGAUGCACCUCUCCAUCAACAAAUCUAUCUUUCGCACCAUGAUAAUAUGUGAGUAAUCCUCCUCAAGGCUGAGGGUAUGUACUAG
rnacentral:lncRNA from 1 species